rnacentral:tRNA from 1 species
GCCUAGCUGGCUCAGUCAGAAGAGCAUGUGACUCCUGAUUUGAGGUUGUGAGUUCGAGCCCCAUGUUGGGUA